rnacentral:rRNA from 1 species
GUGGGGAAUAUUGGACAAUGGGCGAAAGCCUGAUCCAGCCAUGCCGCGUGUGUGAAGAAGGUCUUCGGAUUGUAAAGCACUUUAAGUUGGGAGGAAGGGCAGUAAGUUAAUACCUUGCUGUUUUGACGUUACCAACAGAAUAAGCACCGGCUAACUUCGUGCCAGCAGCCGCGGUAAUACGAAGGGUGCAAGCGUUAAUCGGAAUUACUGGGCGUAAAGCGCGCGUAGGUGGUUCAGCAAGUUGGAGGUGAAAUCCCCGGGCUCAACCUGGGAACUGCCUGCAAAACUACUGAGCUAGAGUACGGUAGAGGGUAGUGGAAUUUCCUGUGUAGCGGUGAAAUGCGUAGAUAUAGGAAGGAACACCAGUGGCGAAGGCGACUACCUGGACUGAUACUGACACUGAGGUGCGAAAGCGUGGGGAGCAAACAGGAUUAGAUACCCGGGUAGUCC